rnacentral:rRNA from 1 species
CCUACGGGGGACAGCAGUGGGGGAGAUUGCACAAUGGGGGAAACCCUGAUGCAGCGACGCCGCGUGAGUGAAGAAGUAUUUCGGUAUGUAAAGAUCUAGCAGCAGGGAAGAAAAAAGACGGUACCGGACGAAGAAGCCCCGGCUAACUACGUGCCAGCAGCCGCAGUAAUACGGAGGGGGCAAGCGUGAUCCGGAUUUACGGGGUGGAAAGGGAGCGUAGACGGCAAUACAAGUCGGAAGUGAAAUACCCGGGCUCAACCGGGGAACUGCUUUGGAAACUGUCUGGCUGGAGUGCUGGAGAGGUAAGCUGCAUUCCUAUUGUAGCGGUGCCAUGCGUAGAUAUUAGGCGGACCACCAGUGGCGCCGGCGGCUUACUGGACAGUACCUGACGUUGAGGCUC